CAGUAGCCACGGUAAUACGUAGGGUGCAAGCGUUAAUCGGAAUUACUGGGCGUAAAGCGUGCGCAGGCGGUUCGUUAAGACAGAUGUGAAAUCCCCGGGCUUAACCUGGGAACUGCAUUUGUGACUGGCGAGCUAGAGUAUGGCAGAGGGGGGUAGAAUUCCACGUGUAGCAGUGAAAUGCGUAGAGAUGUGGAGGAAUACCGAUGGCGAAGGCAGCCCCCUGGACAAAGACUGACGCUCAGGUGCGAAAGCGUGGGGAGCAAACAGGAUUAGAUACCCCUGUAGUCCCUGUCUCUUAUAC
rnacentral:rRNA from 1 species